AACCUACCCUUGGGACGGGGACAACCUCGGGAAACUGAGGCUAAUCCCCGAUAGGUGAGGGACGCUGGAAUGCCUCCUCGCCCAAAGCUCCGGCGCCCAAGGAUGGGACUGCGGUCUAUCAGGCUGUUGGUGGUGUAACGGACCACCAAACCUACGACGGGUACGGGCGAUGGGAGUCGGAGCCCGGAGAUGGGGACUGAGACAAGGCCCCAGGCCCUACGGGGCGCAGCAGGCGCGAAAACUCCGCAAUGCGCGCAAGCGUGACGGGGGAAUCCCAAGUGCCGUUGGUCUUAUGAUCGACGGUUUUUAGGAAGUCUAAGAAGCUUCCAGAAUAAGGGCUGGGCAAGACUGGUGCCAGCCGCCGCGGUAACACCAGCAGCCCAAGUGGUGACCACGAUUAUUGGGCCUAAAGCGCUCGUAGCCGGAUCAGCAAGUCCCUUGUGAAAUCGGGCCGCCUAACGGUUCGGCGUGCAAGGGAUACUGUUGGUCUUGAGGCCGGGAGAGGUCGGAGGUACUCCUGGGGUAGCGGUGAAAUGCUCUAAUCCUAGGGGGACCACCAGUGGCGAAGGCGUCCGACCAGAACGGACCUGACGGUGAGGGGCGAAGGCUAGGGGAGCGAACGGGAUUAGAUACCCUGGUAGUCCUAGCUGUAAAGCAUGCGGGCCAGGUGUCUAGCGUUCCUUGAGGGCGCU
rnacentral:rRNA from 1 species